CAUCCCCUGACCGCGUAUGAAAGACGUUUUCACCCUCGGGUGACAGGGAGACAGGUGGUGCAUGGUUGUCGUCAGCUCGUGUCGUGAGAUGUUGGGUUAAGUCCCGCAACGAGCGCAACCCCUACGUUAGUUGCUAACGCGUGAAGGCGAGCACUCUAGACGAACUGCCGUUGACAAAACGGAGGAAGGUGGGGAUGACGUCAAAUCAUCAUGCCCCUUAUGUUCUGGGCUACACACGUGCUACAAUGGCCGGUACAGACGGACGCAAAGCCGCGAGGUGGAGCAAAUCCUAAAAAGCCGGUCUCAGUUCGGAUUGCAGGCUGCAAUUCGCCUGCAUGAAGUCGGAAUCGCUAGUAAUCGCAGGUCAGCAUACUGCGGUGAAUACGUUCCCGGGCCUU
rnacentral:rRNA from 1 species